rnacentral:rRNA from 1 species
AGUGAACGCUGGCGGUAGGCCUAACACAUGCAAGUCGAACGGCAGCACAGUAAGAGCUUGCUCUUACGGGUGGCGAGUGGCGGACGGGUGAGGAAUACAUCGGAAUCUACUUUUCGUUGGGGAUAACGUAGGGAAACUUACGCUUAUACCGCAUACGACCUACGGGUGAAAGCCGGGGAUUUUCGGACCUUGCGCGAUUGAAUUAGCCGAUGUCGGAUUAGCUAGUUGGCGGGGUAAAGGCCCACCAAGGCGACGAUCCGUAGCUGGUCUGAGAGGAUGAUCAGCCACACUGGAACUGAGACACGGUCCAGACUCCUACGGGAGGCAGCAGUGGGGAAUAUUGGACAAUGGGCGCAAGCCUGAUCCAGCCAUACCGCGUGGGUGAAGAAGGCCUUCGGGUUGUAAAGCCCUUUUGUUGGGAAAGAAAAGCAGCAGGUUAAUACCCCGCUGUUCUGACGGUACCCAAAGAAUAAGCACCGGCUAACUUCGUG